rnacentral:rRNA from 1 species
UACGGGGGGGAGCAAGCGUUGUUCGGAUUUACUGGGCGUAAAGGGCGCGUAGGCGGCCUGUUAAGUCGGACGUGAAAUCCCUCGGCUCAACCGGGGAACUGCGUCCGAUACUGGCGGGCUUGAAUUCGGGAGAGGGAUGCGGAAUUCCAGGUGUAGCGGUGAAAUGCGUAGAUAUCUGGAGGAACACCGGUGGCGAAGGCGGCAUCCUGGACCGACACUGACGCUGAGGAGCGAAAGCCAGGGGAGCAAACGGGG